AGCAGCCGCGGUAAUUCCAGCUCCAAUAGCGUAUAUUAAAGUUGUUGCAGUUAAAAAGCUCGUAGUUGAAUUUCGGGAUCAAGGAAUCGGUCAUGCCUUGGUAUGUACUGGUUUUAUUGGUUCUCACCUUCUAAAGAACCAUGAUGUCAUUCAUUUGAUGUUAUGGGGAAUUAGGACUGUUACCUUGAAAAAAUUAGAGUGUUUAAAGCAAGCUUACGCUUGAAUACAUUAGCAUGGAAUAAUGAAAUAGGACAUCAGAUUCUAUUUUGUUGGUUUCUAGGAUCGAUGUAAUGAUUAAUAGGGAUAGUUGGGGGCAUUAGUAUUCAAUUGUCAGAGGUGAAAUUCUUGGAUUUAUUGAAGACUAACUACUGCGAAAGCAUUUGCCAAGGAUGUUUUCAUUAAUCAAGAACGAAAGUUAGGGGAUCGAAGACGAUCAGAUACCGUCGUAGUCUUAACCAUAAACUAUAGCCGACUAGG
rnacentral:rRNA from 1 species